UAUUUGUUAAACUUUAGAUGAACACAAUGCAAUACUGAUGAUGUAUUAUGAGAUAUGUAAAAUGGAUGAUGUAAUAUCAUGCUGAGUAGUAGUGUUUGAUGGUUUAACCUGAAACAUUUCAUAGCAUCUGGUACAUACUUGCUGAUUGGAGAAGCAAUUGUAAAGUUACAAUCAGCCUUUGAGCAUCUAAUUUACAGUAAGUAAUCAUUUAGGAAUCAGAGCAAAAAUAAAUUAACCUUUGAUAAAAAUGUUCAAUUACUCUUUAAUAUUUAAUUAUUCAAGAACUUCUGUAUUGACAAACAUAUACAUUAUAAUAAUUUCAUGCAAACAUUAGUUUCAAAACAUGAACUUGGUUAAAUAUUGGAGUAUGCCAUUCAACAAGCAGCUGAACGCAAAAUCUGACUAGUUUUAAUCAUUAUGAAAUUUGUUUUGAAUAUUGGAGGAUAAUGAACACAACAAAUACCCACUGAUUUUGUUCACUAUGUCAUCUAUGUAAGAGAUAUAUUCCCUAAAAUAUCAUGCUUAUCAAUUGUUGUUGUUUGAAUCUUAUCAUAAAAUAUGGCCACUAUGGCAGCCAUAUUGAAACUGAUCUCAUUACCAGCAACAAACAAAAUAUUCAAAACAAAAGUGGGUAAACAUGCUUUUGGAGGGCUUUUUGUGUUCUAACAAUGUUAGACUUAGUAUAAAAUUUUGGAAAAUACACAAAUGAUACAUGUUGAGUGCAACUACUAAUGCCACACGUACCAAAUUUCAUGUCAUUUCAUUUUGAAAAAAAAUAUGACUAAACAAUGGUCAUAAAUAGACUGUUCAAUAUGGCUGGCAUGGCGGCCAUAUUGAAAAUCAGUUGCAGACUACACAAACGAAUUUGGUGUAUUAUGGGAAAAGGAAUGUGAAGUUCAAUUUCACUUAUCUUGUGGUUCCUAAGGAAGAUGUGUACACACCUGGACAAUGGACAACUUUGACGGAUGAUGGACAAAUAGGCCAUAACAUUAGCCCACUUGUGACUAUGAGGCUGGUGAGCUAAAAACUCACUAGUGUGACAAGUAUAUGUUUUUAUCUCUCUGUUUUAAGGUUUGUAUGGAACUAUGUCAACUGGUGUAUAAGCCAUGAUGCUGGGCCAAGUACUGUAGCAUCAGCAUCUGGACAUUGUACCAAUUUCUUCAAUUUCAUCAAGGUUAUAGAUAUUCAUGCACACACUAUUCUACAUAAUAUAUCAGAUAUAUAUCUGUGUGAUAUUGAAAAGUGAGCUGGAUAAUUGCGAAAAUACAUGAUCCAAUAUACAUUUCACAGCACUGCAUGAAUCUCAAACAAUUUGGAUGUAUCAACAAUUGGUAAGAUAUUGGAUUAUAUUUUCUUUUGGCAUGUGUUUUAGCAGAGGUGUAAGAAUACAGUAGGACAAUAUUAUACAUAUCCCUACACUAAUGAUUUAAUAUCAUUUGUUUUAAAUUUUAUCUUGA